rnacentral:rRNA from 1 species
GAUAGGCUCAGGACGAACGCUGGCGGCGCGCCUAACACAUGCAAGUCGAACGAGAGAUGAGGAGCUUGCUCUUCAAAUCGAGUGGCGAACGGGUGAGUAACGCGUGAGGAACCUGCCUCAAAGAGGGGGACAACAGUUGGAAACGACUGCUAAUACCGCAUAAGCCCACGGCUCGGCAUCGAGCAGAGGGAAAAGGAGUGAUCCGCUUUGAGAUGGCCUCGCGUCCGAUUAG